UACGUAGGUGGCGAGCGUUGUCCGGAUUUACUGGGCGUAAAGGGAGCGUAGGCGGACUUUUAAGUGAGAUGUGAAAUACUCGGGCUCAACUUGAGUGCUGCAUUUCAAACUGGAAGUCUAGAGUACAGGAGAGGAGAAUGGAAUUCCUAGUGUAGCGGUGAAAUGCGUAGAGAUUAGGAAGAACACCAGUGGCGAAGGCGAUUCUCUGGACUGUAACUGACGCUGAGGCUCGAAAGCGUGGGGAGCAAACAGG
rnacentral:rRNA from 1 species